rnacentral:lncRNA from 1 species
CAGGCAUGUCCCACCUGCCUCACAGCCACCGACGCAUCUCACGGCGGGGUUCUAAUUGCGUGCGCGUAUGAAUGCUCCUUUUCCUGCCGCCUUUCUAACAACUAGUUAAUGUUGUGAUGCAUCGUUGGUCCGGCGUACGACGGCGCCUGGUGCGAUUUAUGCGUCCGGAAGCCCUUUCAGCCUCCAGGCAUGUCCCCACCUGCCUCACAGCCGCCGACGCAUCUCACGGCGGGGUUCUCAUUGCGUGCGCGUUCGCAUGCUGCAUGUCCCGCCACCUUUCUGGCAUCUAGUUGAUGGUAUGAUGAAUCGUUGUGCGAUGUAGGGCUGCGCCUGAUGCGAUUUCGUUUGCGGAAGCCCCCCCUGAGUGCUGCCAAGCAUGUUAUUCUCUCAUGAGACUGCGUGAAGGUUUACGAACUGAGUAUGCGACCAACACAUAAAACAUCGCAUGUGAAUUGUUAUGUCUUGCGAUUCAUCAAAGGUAAAUCGUGUGUGCUUGUUGUGUGUUAGCUUCGGCCGCAUUAAGCUUGACGCAACGAGCCUUCAUACGCUUGAAACGCAACGUUUGUUUGCAUGCGAAUUGCGUUGCGAUAUGUGUGCGUUUGGCGAGUGUUAGGCCGCGUUAAGCUUUACGCAAUGAGCCUUUAUACGCAUGAAACGCAGCAUGUAUUAGCAUGCGAAAUGCGUUGCGAAAUGUGUGCGUAAGGUGAGUGUUAGGCCGCGUUAAGCUUUACGCAAUCAGCCCUCAUACUCAUGAUACGCAACAUGCAUUCGCAUGCAAAUAGCCUUGCGGACUGUGUGCGUUUCAUGUGCGAGUGGACGCGAAUUGCUUUACGCAUUGUCUCCCCACACGCACGAAUCGCAAUAUGGAAUCGCAUGCGUAUCGCCUUGCUACACAUGCGCGUAUGCUUCGCGUUUGAACAUACGCACGGAUGAAUUGUUCAAGUCGACCAAAACGACGCAAGUUUAUUUCCAAAUAAACCUUUACAAUCUGAAAAUUAUAAAUUUUUAAAAAACUUGGCCAGAAGGGCCGAUUUCCGCUUUUCCAUAGCCGUUGUGCGUUAGCUCUUUGCGUUACAAAAGCAUGCUCAUUCGCACCUAGGUUAGGCCUAACGCUAAGAUUCGCACCGUUACGCGAACUAACGCGAGCUANNNNNNNNNNNNNNNNNNNNNNNNNNNNNNNNNNNNNNNNNNNNNNNNNNAGCAACUAGUUGAUGUUAUGAUGCAUCGUUGGGCCGGCGUACGACGGCGCCUGGUGCGAUUUAUACGUCCGGAAGCCCUNUCAGCCUCCCAGGCAUGUCCCAACUGCCUCACAGCCACCGACGCAUCUCACGGCGGGGUUCUAAUUGCGUGCGCGUAUGGAUGCUCCUUUUCUUGCCGCUUUCCUAACAACUAGUUAAUGCUAUGAUGCAUCGUUGGUCCGGCGUACGACGGCGCCUGGUGCGAUUUAUGCGUCCGGAAGCCCUUUCAGCCUCCCAGGCAUGUCCCCACCUGCCUCACAGCCACCGACGCAUCUCACGGCGGGGUUCUAAUUGCGUGCGCGUAUGGAUGCUCCUUUUCUUGCCGCUUUCCUAACAACUAGUUAAUGCUAUGAUGCAUCGUUGGUCCGGCGUACGACGGCGCCUGGUGCGAUUUAUGCGUCCGGAAGCCCUUUCAGCCUCCAGGCAUGUCCCCACCUGCCUCACAGCCGCCGACGCAUCUCACGGCGGGGUUCUAAUUGCGUGCGCGUAUGAAUGCUCCUAUGUCCCGCCACCUUUCUAACAACUAGUUGAUGUUGUGAUGCAUCGUUGGUCCGGCGUACGACGGCGCCUGGUGCGAUUUAUGCGUCCGGAAGCCCUUUCAGCCUCCAGGCAUGUCCCCACCUGCCUCACAGCCGCCGACGCAUCUCACGGCGGGGUUCUAAUUGCG